UACGUGAGGGGCGAACGUUGUUCGGUGUCACUGGGCUUAAAGGGCGCGUAGGUGGCUGCGUAAGUAAGGUGUGAAAGCCCUCGGCUUACCCGGGGAAUUGCGCCUUAUACUGCGUGGCUUGAGGAUUUCAGGGGAAAGGGGAACUCCGAGUGUAGCGGUGAAAUGCGUAGAUAUCAGGAGGAACACCGGUGGUGUAGACGGCUAUCUGGACCGUAACUGACGCUGAGACACGAAAGCGUGGGUAGCAAACAGG
rnacentral:rRNA from 1 species